CAGACCUCUAAUCGGAAAAAGACUACCCGCUGAGUUUAA
rnacentral:rRNA from 1 species